rnacentral:rRNA from 1 species
AUACGGAGGGUGCAAGCGUUACUCGGAAUCACUGGGCGUAAAGCGCGCGUAGGCGGCUUAUCAAGUUAGGCGUGAAAGGCCUGGGCUCAACCCGGGAACUGCGCUUAAUACUGGUAGACUUGAGUCCGGGAGAGGGUGGCGGAAUUCCCAGUGUAGAGGUGAAAUUCGUAGAUAUUGGGAAGAACACCAGUGGCGAAGGCGGCCACCUGGCCCGGUACUGACGCUGAGGUGCGAAAGCGUGGGGAGCAAACAGGAUUAGAUACCCCGGUAGUCC